CCUCCUCUCCCCCGAUCCACUUUCCCCCUCGUCCCACAGCCGCCACCCCAAACCCUCUCGCUCCCCCACUGGAUCCCUUCCGUGCCGCCCUGAAAUCUCCUCUCCUCUCAUAUCUGCUCCCGAAUCAAAUCCCCCAUCACCUCCGCCACCCCCACCUACCCCCACCGCCGGCGCGAGCCGCGAGCACGGGAGCGCGAGCGGAUCGAUGGCCGGCGCGGGAUCCUCGUCGGGCGGCGGCGGGGGGAGGGAGGGCGACUGGGACUACGGCGGGUGCGGCAACCGCAACUAUGCCUUCCGCUCCCUGUACAACCGCUGCAAGCAGCUGCGCCUCCUCGUCGACCCCAACACCCCGCGUGACUCCAAGUGGCUCCCCCGCGCCGGCGACUGGAUCUGCAACGAUGCAGAUCUCAUCUCCUCUUGUUCUGCGCCGGCCAGACCAUGAACACUUCAAGCGGAAGGAUGCAUGAUGGGCUGGACGACAAGGUGGAGAUCCUGGACACACAGAGGGGCUACCAAACCGGUGCUGCAGCAACAACGACUUCGCAGCCCAUACAGGAGGUGGACUGCAUACAGUGCCUUGUUAAAUACCACCAUUCUACCCUGCUUUGCAUUCGCAUUUUCAUUUGCUGUCUUUUUGCCACCAUAUGACAUCUUUAAAACUGCUAAGAGAUUCAAACUAAGAGGAAGUCGUGUUCAGUUUCGGUUGGCACUAUGAUAUCAAGUUUCAUCAUGUACUGUUGGUGUUGGUUUGAUCAAAUAAACAGGGGAUUUAUUUACAGUGUUGUUCUGAUGUGCCAGCUCAUACAACAUGCAUUAAGUAUACAGUAUCUUCCAAUUUGAAUCGAACUAGAAGUUGAAUUACUAUUACGUCUCACGUGUGCCUCGGCUGUCAUUUACUCUAUAGAACUAUUAUUAAUUGGCCCUGAUCUGACGCAAUGUUUUCUGGAUGUUAGGAUGAUACGGUGUACUACUCCAUUCUUCAUCGAUUCUCUGUCCCCUUUUACUUGUAGUACAGCCCGCCCAUCUCAGAAUAUUCUAGGACAUCGACCGAACUGUCAUUUAUAUACCACGCGACGUUCCUGUUCAAAAACAGCUAUGGAUACUAUGGCUACACAUUGAACUUGAGCUCAUGAACACGGAACGGCCAACAUUGGAUCCAAGUACAGGAAGAAGAUCAGGAUAGGCGCCGUCUCAUUCUUCACGAUUUUUUGUAUUGUGUGCCUUGAAAAGCAUGGUUGCAACCAUUCCUAAGUUUUUGUUCUUGUUCGAUUUGUAUUUGGAUACAGCAGGUGCUUUGCUCUUGCGCACGUGGUUGAUCCUGAUUGCUGAACAUGGCAGAUGUAUCUUCUUUUGUGUAUCAAUUACAUAGCAGUACUAUGUAAUGGAACAGUCUAUGUACUGUUAUUUUUAGGUUAGGUUGAAGUGAUUGGUAGGCCUUUGUUAAGAAGCGAGCUUCUUUAAAUUUCCGUUGUUAUUUGCACUAUAUUCCACGCACGCCUCAUGUGAAUCUGUGAUCGUAUCCAUAGACCAGUGAAUUUAUUGCACCAUUUGCUUGCUGUGAAGUAUCCAGUAUUUGUUACAUUAUAUCUUUAAGUAGUAAUAUUGAGAAUGGCAAUCAAAUUCUUCAACUGAACUGCUCUUUCAUUGUACCAUGAAAUACUAAAGUUUUGCUAUGUAUAACACUGCUAAAUGUGUUUUUAUGUAUAUAGAAUUGCAUUCAUUUCCUCUUCUUUCAGUAGUUACAUAGCUUGAGGUCUGUGCAUUCUUUUGAAUAGGAUGUACUCUUCUAUGCAGAAGAUCUGAUUUGCACAAACAUAGUUAUCUGCGUGUGUUGCCUGACUUAUCUAUAUACACACUUUGUGGAAGAAAUAGGAUAUAUAUAUGUGAUUAUGUUGCUUCUAUAGUAUAGUUAGUACUCAUGCCCAUGAUCGACCAGGUCCCUGCUCUGUUUCUUCUUCUUUUGCUUCCUGUAUGUAUGUAUGUGUCUGACGACGAAGGUGGUUUCUUCAGAAUUGAUCGAGUCUGACAAAGUUGUUCUGAACAUUUUUUGAAACAGGGCGAGGCCGGAGAUGUCUGUGCGGUGAUGUCCCUGGGGUGGCGCCACUGUGCCCGACGCUUGCCCUGGUCGCCGCAGUGGUGCUUCAACGGCUUCCAGACCCUCUCCUGGAUGUGGUGAUGGUCACACCACAGCCGUGGUGUGGCCGAGCCUCCGCUACAGCUACAACCUCCCUCCGGUGCCCAGUUUGUGCUCGCUACCGAAGGAGCUCCAUGUUGAAGAAGAUUGAAGACACUUGUAGAGCUACAGGGUUAACACCAGGGCAGCUUGUAGAGCUUGUAGAGCUUUUAUAUGUAUAGAGCUUGUAAAUGUAUCAUGUGUAUAGCUUGUAGAGCUUGUAUAUGUUAGAGCUUAUUAUGUGUCGAGCUUGUAAAGUAUAUGUUAUUUGUACAAUAUGAGCUUUGUACUGAAUCUGGCUGAUAAUAUUUGGAGAAUACUGGUUAUUUA